CAAGACAUAUGCAACUGUACAUUUAGGAUGCAUUGAGCUGUUUGACAGUCUCUCGGCGUCAGAACAUGACCAUUAGAGGCUGUUCAGGUGGAAACCAAUGCAGAAACACUAAAACAUCGUUUUUGAGCUUUUCAGGCAAUAAGAAAACUAGUUUAAACCACGGCAUAUGCAACUGUACAUUUAGGAUGCAUUGAGAUGUUUGACAGUACUCUGGCAUCAGAACAUGACCAUUAGAGGCUGUUCUGAAAGAAAACCAAUGCAGAAACACUAAAACAUCGUUUUUUAGCUUUUCAGGCCAUAAGAAAACUAGUUUAAACCACGCCAUAUGAAACUAUGCUUUUAGGGUAUAUUGACCUGUUUUAAAGUAUUCUGGCAUCAGAACAUGACCAUUAGAGGCUGUUCUGAAGGACACCAAUGCUUAAACACUAAAACAUAGUUUUUGAGGUUUUCAGGUCAUACGAACACUAGUUUAAACCAAGGCAUUUGAAACUGUGCUUUAUGGCGUAUUGAGCUGUUUUAAAGUUGCCUGGCAUCAGACAUGACCAUCUUAAGCUGUAAUGUUAGAAACCAAUGCAUAAACACUAAAACAUCGUUUUUGAGCUUUUCAGGUCAUAAGAACACUAGUUUAAACCACGGCAUAUGCAACUGUACAUUUAGGAUGCAUUGAGCUGUUUUAAAGUAGCCUGGCAUGAGAACAUGACCAUUACAAACUGUAUAGUUAAAAACCAAUGCACAAACACUAAAACAUCGUUUUGGAGCUUUUCAGGUCAUAAGAACACUAGUUUAAAACCACGGAAUAUGCAACUGUACAUUUAGGAUGCAUUGAGCUGUUUGACAGUAUUCUGGCAUCAGAACAUGACCAUUGGAGGCUGUUCAGGUGGAAACCAAUGCAGAAACACUAAAACAUCGUUUUUGAGCUUUUCAGGCCAUAAGAAAACUACUUUAAACCACGGCAUAUGCAACUAUGCUUUUAGGGUGUAUUGACCUGUUUUAAAGUAUUCUGGCAUCAGAACAUGACCAUUGGAGGCUGUUCUGAAGAAAACCAAUGCUUAGGUUUAAACCAAGACAUAUGCAACUGUACAUUUAGGAUGCAUUGAGCUGUUUGACAAUCUUCUGGCGUCAGAACAUGACCA
rnacentral:lncRNA from 1 species